AUUUUAAGCUAAAAUAUCGUGUAAACAAUGUUCAAUUUGCCUUGUUUAUCGAGUGAAAAUUAUUCAAAACUGCGGCAAGUCUCAACAUGUCAUGAGUGUGUGUGCGUUGGUGUGUUUAAUAGUGUAUAAGCUACAAGUUGGCUUCAUCAAAACAUUGUCAAUAGGCAUGAUUUUGUGAAUGUAAAUUAGGAAUUUGCUGCUUUACUGAAAAACAAAGUUUUAUUUUAUUGUAUAGUGGAGUUUGCCUGGUCGGUAGUGUGUCGGAAAAAAUAUAUUUUUUUUAAACAGAUUUUUUUUUGCAUUGCCUUUAUGCUAGUGCGAUCACCUGACCUAAAAUUGAUUUACAUUAAUGUGCUCAUUUGAAGUGAUUUCUGGUUGAGGGAUGGCUCUUACUAUGGAAAUGGAUCAUCUGGGACAGUAAUGGACAGCUUAAAGAAAGAUCAAGUAAGAUGUUCGGGUGCGGAUGUAGCGACGGGGUGGAUUUAUCUGAACUCAUCAGCAUUGGAAGGUUCACGUAGUCCAUGCGUUACUGACGAACUGUUUUUCAAUGCAACAGGACGAUCGAAGAUAUCCUGGUUUUUGUUCUGAGUAACGCAACAAGCAAAAAUCCAU